UGGGGAAUUUUGGACAAUGGGCGCAAGCCUGAUCCAGCAAUGCCGCGUGAGUGAAGAAGGCCUUCGGGUUGUAAAGCUCUUUUGUCAGGGAAGAAACGGAUUUUCUAAUACAGAGAUCUAAUGACGGUACCUGAAGAAUAAGCACCGGCUAACUACGUGCCAGCAGCCGCGGUAAUACGUAGGGUGCAAGCGUUAAUCGGAAUUACUGGGCGUAAAGCGUGCGCAGGCGGUUUUGUAAGACUGUCGUGAAAUCCCCGGGCUCAACCUGGGAAUGGCGAUGGUGACUGCAAGGCUAGAGUUUGGCAGAGGGGGGUAGAAUUCCACGUGUAGCAGUGAAAUGCGUAGAUAUGUGGAGGAACACCGAUGGCGAAGGCAGCCCCCUGGGUCAAAACUGACGCUCAUGCACGAAAGCGUGGGGAGCAAACAGGAUUAGAUACCCUGGUA
rnacentral:rRNA from 1 species